AUGCAGUCGAGCGAUGACGAGGAGCUUGCUCCUCUGAUUUAGCGGCGGACGGGUGAGUAACACGUGGGUAACCUGCCUGUAAGACGGGGAUAACUCCGGGAAACCGGAGCUAAUACCGGAUGAUAACGAGAAGCGCCUGCUUCUUUUUUGAAAGUCGGUUUCGGCUGACGCUUACAGAUGGGCCCGCGGCGCAUUAGCUAGUUGGUGAGGUAACGGCUCACCAAGGCGACGAUGCGUAGCCGACCUGAGAGGGUGAUCGGCCACACUGGGACUGAGACACGGCCCAGACUCCUACGGGAGGCAGCAGUAGGGAAUCUUCGGCAAUGGACGAAAGUCUGACCGAGCAACGCCGCGUGAGCGAUGAAGGCCUUCGGGUCGUAAAGCUCUGUUGUCAGAGAAGAACAAGUACCGGAGUAACUGCCGGUACCUUGACGGUACCUGACCAGAAAGCCACGGCUAACUACGUGCCAGCAGCCGCGGUAAUACGUAGGUGGCAAGCGUUAUCCGGAAUUAUUGGGCGUAAAGCGCGCGCAGGCGGUUUCUUAAGUCUGAUGUGAAAGCCCACGGCUCAACCGUGGAGGGUCAUUGGAAACUGGGAGACUUGAGUGCAGGAGAGAAAAGUGGAAUUCCACGUGUAGCGGUGAAAUGCGUAGAGAUGUGGAGGAACACCAGUGGCGA
rnacentral:rRNA from 1 species